rnacentral:rRNA from 1 species
GACGAACGCUGGCGGCGUGCCUAAUACAUGCAAGUCGAGCGGACUUAAAAAGCUUGCUUUUUAAGUUAGCGGCGGACGGGUGAGUAACACGUGGGCAACCUGCCUGUAAGACUGGGAUAACUUCGGGAAACCGGAGCUAUACCGGAUAAUCCUUUUCUACUCAUGUAGAAAAGCUGAAAGACGGUUUACGCUGUCACUUACAGAUGGGCCCGCGGCGCAUUAGCUAGUUGGUGAGGUAACGGCUCACCAAGGCGACGAUGCGUAGCCGACCUGAGAGGGUGAUCGGCCACACUGGGACUGAGACACGGCCCAGACUCCUACGGGAGGCAGCAGUAGGGAAUCUUCCGCAAUGGACGAAAGUCUGACGGAGCAACGCCGCGUGAGUGAUGAAGGUUUUCGGAUCGUAAAACUCUGUUGUUAGGGAAGAACAAGUACGAGAGUAACUGCUCGUACCUUGACGGUACCUAACCAGAAAGCCACGGCUAACUACGUG